GACGAACGCUGGCGGCGUGGAUUAGGCAUGCAAGUCGAACGGUAUCAUCCUUUCGGGGGUGAGAGAGUGGCGAACUGGUGAGUAACACGUAGGUUAUCUACCCUCAAGACGGGGACAACCCAGGGAAACUUGGGCUAAUACCGGAUGUGAGCAACUUUUAGUUGUUUGAAAGGUGGCGUAAGCUGUCGCUUGGGGAUGAGCCUGCGUCCUAUUAGUUAGUUGGUGAGGUAACGGCUCACCUAGGCAAUGAUAGGUAGGCGGCCUUAACGGGUGGUCGCCCACACUGGGAUUGAGAUACGGCCCAGACUCCUACGGGAGGCAGCAGUCGAGAAUAGUCUACAAUGGUCGGAAGACUGAUAGUGCGACGCCGCGUGAACGAUGAAUCCCUUCGGGGUGUAAAGUUCUUUUAUAUGUGAGCAGUGCUUCUUAUAUUAACAGUAUGGGGAAGAGAUAUUAGCAUAUGAGUAAGCAACGGCUAACUCCGUGCCAGCAGCCGCGGUAAUAC
rnacentral:rRNA from 1 species